UAUUAUUAUAAUUGUAAAUUUUUUUCUUGAGUAGUAUUAGUUAAGUUCUUAAAACUCAAAGGAUUUGGCGGUGUUUUAUUCUUUUCAGAGGAAUCUGUCCUAUAAUUGAUGAUACACAAUAUAAUUUACUUAAUUUUGUAUUUUCAGCUUGUAUACCUCCGUCAUAAGAUAUUCUUUUUAGAGUAAUAAUUUUCUUUAUAUUUGUAUUAAUAUAAUAUGUCAGGUCACGGUGCAGCUUAUAGUUAAGAAGAGAUGGAUUACAAUAAAAUUAUUUAUUACGGAUUUUUCUAUGAAAUUAGGAAAUCAAGGUGGAUUUGAAAGUAAUUUUAUUAAAUUAUGAUAAUUUGAUAUAGCUCUAAAACAUGUACACAUCGCCCGUCGCUCUCGUUAUAAGAUGAG
rnacentral:rRNA from 1 species